GACGUAGGGUCCAAGCGUUGUCCGGAUUUACUGGGCGUAAAGAGCUCGUAGGCGGUUCGGCAAGUCGACGGUGAAAUCUCCACGCUCAACGUGGAGGGGUCCGUCGAUACUGCUGUGACUGGAGUCCGGUAGGGGAGUGUGGAAUUCCCGGUGUAGCAGUGAAAUGCGUAGAGAUGUGGAGGAACACCGAUGGCGAAGGCAGCCCCCUGGGUCAAGAUUGACGCUCAUGCACGAAAGCGUGGGGAGCAAACAGG
rnacentral:rRNA from 1 species